UACAGAGGUCCCAAGCGUUGUUCGGAUUCAUUGGGCGUAAAGGGUGCGUAGGCGGCGCGGUAAGUCGGGUGUGAAAUCUCGGGGCUUAACUCCGAAACUGCAUUCGAUACUGCCGUGCUUGAGGACUGGAGAGGAGACUGGAAUUUACGGUGUAGCGGUGAAAUGCGUAGAUAUCGUAAGGAAGACCAGUGGCGAAGGCGGGUCUCUGGACAGUUCCUGACGCUAGGCGACGAAGGCCAGGGGAGCAAACGGG
rnacentral:rRNA from 1 species